rnacentral:rRNA from 1 species
AUUGAACGCUGGCGGCAUGCCUUACACAUGCAAGUCGAACGGUAACGCGGGGCAACCUGGCGACGAGUGGCGAACGGGUGAGUAACGCAUCGGAACGUGCCCAGUAGUGGGGGAUAGCCCGGCGAAAGCCGGAUUAAUACCGCAUACGACCUACGGGUGAAAGCGGGGGACCGCAAGGCCUCGCGCUGUUGGAGCGGCCGGUGUCAGAUUAGGUAGUUGGUGGGGUAAAGGCCUACCAAGCCCGCGAUCUGUAGCUGGUCUGAGAGGACGACCAGCCACACUGGGACUGAGACACGGCCCAGACUCCUACGGGAGGCAGCAGUGGGGAAUUUUGGACAAUGGGGGAAACCCUGAUCCAGCCAUGCCGCGUGCGGGAAGAAGGCCUUCGGGUUGUAAACCGCUUUUGUCAGGGAAGAAAUCCCUCGGGCCAAUACCCUGGGGGGAUGACGGUACCUGAAGAAUAAGCACCGGCAAACUACGUGCCAGCAGCCGCCGCGGUAA